CAAGAGAGAGAACAGCUCCAGAAUAGAGAGAAGAAAGGAGGGAAUCAGAGAAGAGAAAAGUGAGGGAUGGAGUCGCCAUUUAGGUCAGAUAUAUUGAAAGGGAAGGUGGCUGUAAUAACAGGAGGUGGGUCAGGAAUUGGAUUUGAGAUAUCAGCACAGUUUGGAAAACAUGGUGCCUCUGUUUCGAUUAUGGGUAGACGCAAGCAAGUGCUUGACUCUGCAGUCUCCAAUCUCCAGUCCCUUGGAAUUGUCGCUGUUGGCUUUGAGGGCGAUGUUCGCAAGCAGGAAGAUGCUAAAAGAGUUUUAGAAUCAACUUUUAAACGUUUUGGCAGGAUUGACAUUCUUGUGAAUGCUGCAGCUGGCAACUUUCUUGUAUCGCCGGAGGAUUUGUCGCC
rnacentral:misc_RNA from 1 species